rnacentral:rRNA from 1 species
GGUAGAGACUGAACGGCCACAUUGGGACUGAGACACGGCCCAAACUCCUACGGGAGGCAGCAGUAGGGAAUCUUCCACAAUGGACGCAAGUCUGAUGGAGCAACGCCGCGUGAGUGAAGAAGGUUUUCGGAUCGUAAAGCUCUGUUGUUGGUGAAGAAGGGAUAGAGGUAGUAACUGGCCUUUAUUUGACGGUAAUCAACCAGAAAGUCACGGCUAACUACGUGCCAGCAGCCGCGGUAAUACGUAGGUGGCAAGCGUUGUCCGGAUUUAUUGGGCGUAAAGCGAGCGCAGGCGGAAGAAUAAGUCUGAUGUGAAAGCCCUCGGCUUAACCGAGGAACUGCAUCGGAAACUGUUUUUCUUGAGUGCAGAAGAGGAGAGUGGAAUUCCAUGUGUAGCGGUGGAAUGCGUAGAUAUAUGGAAGAACACCAGUGGCGAAGGCGACUCUCUGGUCUCGCAAACUGACGCUGAGGCUCGAAAGCAUGGGUAGCGAACAGGAUUAGAUACCCUGGUAGUCCAUGCCGUAAACGAU